AGAAACAGCUGGUUAGCAGGCCUUGGGGCUCAUCCUAGGGCACGGCAGGUUCCCAGCUUCUGUCUCCAACUUUUCAGGCCUCUGGGGCCACUUCUCAAAUUACUUUCGAAGAGGGUGAUUAAAUGCAGCAGAAGGAAAAAGUACAGCCCAGCUGCUUCUCAUUGGCCCAUGCAUUCACUGAACUCUAACAUAGGUACAGUGACUAGGGCUAAAGGACAAUGAAAUAGCCAGAGACUUCUUACUGACAAGGAGAGCUAUUUGGAGAAUGGGUCAGGUCAUUCUUCCCACACACCUCAGACCUACUUCUUGGAAGUUGAGAAGCACAAGUAUUACGGGUUUCAGAAGCCGUCCAGUCCAGCGAGCUUACGGGUUGAUCCGGAAGGCAAGGAGUUUCUCUGAAUGCUGGUUGUUGAGGGUCCUCAGGUCAGGCAGGCGGAGGAGCAGCUUGGGGAAAAGCGUGGAGUCAUCCG